rnacentral:rRNA from 1 species
GACGAACGCUGGCGGCGUGCCUAAUACAUGCAAGUUGAGCGAUGAAGAUUGGUGCUUGCCCCAAUUUGAAGAGCAGCGAACGGGUGAGUAACGCGUGGGGAAUCUGCCUUUGAGCGGGGGACAACAUUUGGAAACGAAUGCUAAUACCGCAUAACAACUUUAAACAUAAGUUUUAAGUUUGAAAGAUGCAAUUGCAUCACUCAAAGAUGAUCCCGCGUUGUAUCAGCUAGUUGGUGAGGUAAAGGCUCACCAAGGCGAUGAUACAUAGCCGACCUGAGAGGGUGAUCGGCCACAUUGGGACUGAGACACGGCCCAAACUCCUACGGGAGGCAGCAGUAGGGAAUCUUCGGCAAUGGACGAAAGUCUGACCGAGCAACGCCGCGGGAGUGAAGAAGGUUUUCGGAUCGUAAAACUCUGUUGGUAGAGAAGAACGUUGGUGGGAGUGGAAAGCUCAUCAAGUGACGGUAACUACCCAGAAAGGGACGGCUAACUACGUG